rnacentral:rRNA from 1 species
UACGGAGGGAGCUAGCGUUAUUCGGAAUUACUGGGCGUAAAGCGCACGUAGGCGGCUUUGUAAGUAAGAGGUGAAAGCCUGGAGCUCAACUCCAGAAUUGCCUUUUAGACUGCAUCGCUUGAAUCAUGGAGAGGUGAGUGGAAUUCCGAGUGUAGAGGUGAAAUUCGUAGAUAUUCGGAAGAACACCACGUGGCGAAAGGCGACU